AGUGAACGCUGGCUGUAGGCCUAACACAUGCAAGUCGAACGGCAGCACAGUAAGAGCUUGCUCUUACGGGUGGCGAGUGACGGACGGGUGAGGAAUACAUCGGAAUCUACUUUUUCGUGGGGGAUAACGUAGGGAAACUUACGCUAAUACCGCAUACGACCUACGGGUGAAAGCAGGGGAUCUUCGGACCUUGCGCGAUUGAAUGAGCCGAUGUCGGAUUAGCUAGUUGGCGGGGUAAAGGCCCACCAAGGCGACGAUCCGUAGCUGGUCUGAGAGGAUGAUCAGCCACACUGGAACUGAGACACGGUCCAGACUCCUACGGGAGGCAGCAGUGGGGAAUAUUGGACAAUGGGCGCAAGCCUGAUCCAGCCAUACCGCGUGGGUGAAGAAGGCCUUCGGGUUGUAAAGCCCUUUUGUUGGGAAAGAAAAGCAGCAGGUUAAUACCCCGCUGUUCUGACGGUACCCAAAGAAUAAGCACCGGCUAACUUCGUG
rnacentral:rRNA from 1 species